rnacentral:rRNA from 1 species
GCUGUCCUUAGUACGAGAGGACCGGGAUGGACAUACCUCUGGUGUACCAGUUGUCGUGCCAACGGCAUAGCUGGGUAGCUAUGUGUGGACGGGAUAAGUGCUGAAAGCAUCUAAGCAUGAAGCCCCCCUCAAGAUGAGAUUUCCCAACUUCGGUUAUAAGAUC